GACGAACGCUGGCGGCGUGCUUAACACAUGCAAGUCGAACGGAAAGGCCCUGCUUUUGUGGGGUGCUCGAGUGGCGAACGGGUGAGUAACACGUGAGUAACCUGCCCUUGACUUUGGGAUAACUUCAGGAAACUGGGGCUAAUACCGGAUAGGAGCUCCUGCUGCAUGGGGGGGGUUGGAAAGUUUCGGCGGUUGGGGAUGGACUCGCGGGUUAUCAGCUUGUUGGUGGGGUAGUGGCUUACCAAGGCUUUGACGGGUAGCCGGCCUGAGAGGGUGACCGGCGACAAUACUACUGAGGGAGGGACCAGUCUGCUACGGGAGGCAGCAGGGGGGAAUAUUACACAAUGGGGGGAAGCCUGAUGCAGCAACGCUGCGAGCGGGAUGACGGCCUUCGGGUUGUAAACCGCUGUCGCCUGUGACGAAGCGUGAGUGACGGUAAUGGGUAAAGAAGCACCGGCUAACUACGUG
rnacentral:rRNA from 1 species